CUGUGCUCCUAUCCAGUUUGCUCCACGUCUACCCUGUAGAUCCGAAUUUGUUUUAUACUAGUUUUAAGGACAAAUUCGGUUCUAGAGAGGUUUGUGUGGUUCAAUUUCCAUCGUAAAAUAAAA
rnacentral:pre_miRNA from 15 species